AUGCACACGGCCCCUUGGGGGGUUCCCAAGGUGGGGCUCUCAGGGUGCGUGAGGCCCCAGCAGCAGGCUGGACCACGUAGGAACCUUCCCGAGUCGGCGGCUGGGGAGGAAACAGCACCAGCGUGGACACACGAAUCGCCAUGUCUGCUAAAACCCGUCCGCGCAGGUUCUAGCAUCGUGCGCUCGCCAAGCGUGCCUCGCUGGUUUUCUAACAUCCCAGCGCUGGCUCCUGUCUCCUCAGGCUUUCCCGCUGGGCAGGAAGGAGGCCGAGACUCGUCUUCCCAACUUAAGAGGGCUGCAGGGCGAGUGCCAAAGGCCACACUGCCCGUCUGCCCCAGAAGGCUCUGGUACCCAGAAGUCCUUCCCCUCGGCUCUCCUGCCAGCGCCCUGCCAUCCCCCAAGGGGCUCGUCUUGUCACUCAGCACUCACCACGUGCCCGGGGGGGUCAGGGUUUCUGGAGAGGAGGCUCUCGGUACUGAAGACACGGAUGCUCCUGGACUGACAUCUUCCUGGAAGAACAGAGAAUGGCUCCUGAAGACAGCGGGCCUGUCCUCGGAGCACCUGGGCCCGAGCAAGGCCCACUUCCUGUGGGCCCCGAUGUCCUGUGGGGAGGGGGUCAGAGGCCCAGGAAGCUUGCACUGGGAGACCCGGCGGUGCUGGGAGAUGCUGGCACCGGGCAUGGAGGCAGGCUGGGAAGAGAGCUCCUGCCGAGGGGCCCCCAGCCCUGCCUGGGACGCUGGUGCCAGGCUCUCCUGCUGCAGCUGUCCCCCAGCGGCUUUCCUCAAGAAGAAACAAAGCCCCCAGCCCAGACCACCCGCUGCACCCUUUCUAGAGCCCUGCCGGCCUGUCUCCGGAGUCGCAGCUGAUGGUCUUUCCAGCCUGUUCUCCACCAAGUGCUCAGGGGAGCCGGAAGACCGGAAGCUUAGAGAAGGUCACCUCUGGGAGGUGCCAGGUGCAUUCUGGGUGCAGAAUGUGGGGCAGUCUGGCCUCAGGGAUCAGAAAGAAAAACCUACCCAGGUCUUCUUGCCUUGGAGGCAAGAGGUCGUAAAUAUUUUUGGCUCGCUGUCCAGGCCGAGGCAGUCAGUGAGGGCAUGCCAGUGA
rnacentral:lncRNA from 1 species